UGAAGCAAACAAAGACAAAGAUAGGAGGGUGAAUGUGAGGUAGCUCCUUUGUGACAGUUCUGAGCUUCUUCUUCAGUUCUAUAUAUCUCCAAAGCUGGCCACCCCCUUUCUCUCAGACCGUCCAAGCCGUCAUUCUUCUUUCUCUCCAAGCCCAACCCUUCUACCGAAGCCACUGAGGGUUGAAUCGAUGGUCAGCGCAGCGUUAGAGCAGAGAAGAUAGCGGCACAGCUGAUUGGCGUCGAGAUUGAACAAGGAUUCGCCCCUUUCUCCAAGCCCUAACCCUAGCUCCCUCUCUCAUUCGAAGCCCUAAAUUCGAAGGACACGAAUUAAGCUGUCCCGUAUCUAAAAACCCAAGCUUGAAUCCGCAGUUUAGUAUAUAAAUCAGUUUUUCGUGUGGGCUGGUCAAGCUUUGUUUGGGACUCUUAUGCCUGACAUAAUUGUUCUCACUCUCUUGUACAGCAUAGCUGGGUCACUUCCAGUAGGCAUUUGGCUCUGAGACUGCUAAAUGGAUUUGUGUUGGUGCUAUUGACGUUACUCAACUCUCUGUGGCUGGAACGUGACUAUUGUUUAUAUCUGAUAACAGUGUCUCAACAACAUCUAGUUGCCGCCAUUAUGUUAAACUGAAGACCUUCUACAAACAAAAAAUAUGGUUACCUUCUAGGAGCUGGUAAACCAUAUUACGCCUUAGCUCUUCUUGGUUUAAUCAUUCCACAAGUCUUUUUCUAGUUCAAAUACUUCCUCAAAGACCCAGUUAAAUAUGAUGUCAAAUAUCAGGUCAAAGCUAGGAUUGCGGUUGCCGUUACUUUUUUUGUUACCGUUAUAUUUUUUGUAUGGCUUAUGAAGAAGUUGCCUAUAUGUAAUAGAAGAGAGAGACUAAAGCAGAGCAAGAAGAUAUAAGAAUUUUUGUUUUAUUUUGGUUUGGCAUAAGAAGCUAGAAAUUUGUAUAUGGUUAAUUUUUGUAUAAAACAAUGAUUUGGAAUUAGUUAUAUAUAUAUAUAUAUAUGAUGUUAUUUGUUA